GGUCCCGUAGUGUAGCGGUUAUCACGUUCGCCCUGUCCACGGCGAAGAUCGCGGGUUCGAUUCCCGUCGGGACCC
rnacentral:tRNA from 1 species